UCUCCGUGAGUCCAUCAGAAUUUUGUC
rnacentral:piRNA from 1 species